rnacentral:lncRNA from 1 species
CUUAAAUGCGCUUUUGGUCCCUUAAAUAUUUAUUUGGUAUCGCUUUGGUUCAUUAACUAAAAAAUUAUUGUUUGAGUAUUUUAUCUUUAUCUUCGUUAUCUGUUUUGGUCCCUUCCGUUAAAUAAAUUCAAAAAACGUUAGGGUUUAUAUUAUUCAUCUUCUUCAUUCUCCUUCCAUCCUCUUCUUCAUGAUCUUCAUCAUCAACAACACACCAACCCAGAAAACUUCAUUCAUUUCUUCAUCUCCUCCAUCUGAAUCUUUCAACUCCUUCAUCCAUUUAUGGAAAAGUAUGAAGAACAACAACAUCAACAAAAUCCAGCAGCCAUUAUAACAAUAAAAUCCAAUAACAACAACAUAACCCAGCAACAACAAAGGUAGAAUUUUCCUUAAAAAAAAGGUAAAAUUUAGGUCCCUCAUUCAUUUCUUCCUCCAUUACAAUAACACAAAAACAAGUUAACUUACUUAUCUUCUCUUCUCCCACCCACAACACACAGAAACACAAAUAAAUCACCAUAAAUUAAAAUGGCAGAAGAAUUGAAAUUUAAAAAAAAAAAAAAAGAUUGAGAUUUCCUUUAUUUCAGUAAACACGAAUAAAUUAAAAUGGCAGAAGUACACACAAAUAAAUCACCAUAAAUUUCCUUCUAUUCUCCCAUUUCUGGUUUCCAAUUUCAAACAUAUGCAACACAACAACACUGAAUUUCAAAUCAGAAUUCGAAUUUCUAGUUUCUCAUUUCCAGUUUCCACCACCAAUUUAAUUCGAUCUCAAAUCUGAUUCUGAAUUUCUUCUCAUGUUCUUCCUUUGGAGUCUGAAUCUGAAUUCAAAGAGAAAAAGGGUAUAAGAGAGUCAAAGAGAAAAAUAGCUGGAUUUAGAUCUCUCUAUUCUGAAUUCUCUCUCUCCAUUUUUUUAAUUCAUGAUAAAACUUAAAAAGGGCUGAAUCUAGAUUCUUGAAGAAAUUAAAAGGGC